GGGUUGGGAUAAAAUAGAUGCACAUGUUAUAUUAACGCAAAUAUUACCAAUAAGCGGUUUUGGAUUUAUAAGCGAUUCUCAAAUUUAUAAGCAAUUUUCUAUCAUAGUGCUCGGAGAUAUUUCAAGUGGUAUUGCACUAUCAUCUUCUGGAAUUCUAGAAGCAACAGUUUUAAAUAUAAAGUUUGGUUUUUUUAUUUAUUUAUUUUAUCUUUUAAUUAUGCUUGCAUUGAUCCAGAAAUGUCUAAAUAGCUCGCUUAAUUUGUUGAAUUUUAUUGCUAUCGCGAUGUUGCCCGGAUUAUUAUAUUCAAUUCGGGGAGAGUUGGUUUUACCUUUUGCAUAUAUAAUAAAAUCACUACCCAUUAUAUUUCUAUCUCCUUUUUUAACUUCAACAAAUAAAUAAUUCGGACAAUAUUUAAUGCUUAGGGAAAUAUUUAAUGAUGGGAUAUAUUCACUCUUUAAUAAGAUUUGCUAUUUUGG
rnacentral:misc_RNA from 1 species